rnacentral:rRNA from 1 species
UACGUAGGCAGCGAGCGUUGUUCGGAAUUACUGGGCGUAAAGAGUGUGUAGGCGGUGCUCCAAGUUCGGUGUGAAAUCUCCUGGCUUAACUGGGAGGGUGCGCCGAAAACUGGAGUGCUCGAGCGUGGGAGAGGAAAGCGGAAUUCCUGGUGUAGCGGUGAAAUGCGUAGAUAUCAGGAGGAACACCUGCGGUGUAGACGGCUUUCUGGACCAUUGCUGACGCUGAGACACGAAAGCGUGGGUAGCAAACAGG